rnacentral:rRNA from 1 species
AGCCAGUGGAUUUUUAAGAAGAGAGGAAUGGCGGGAAUGAAGUAGCGAGAAAAGAGGUGAGAAUCCUCUUGGCCGAAUAUCUAAGGUUUCAGGGUAAAGCUGAUCUGCCCUGGGUAAGUCGGGGCUAAGGCGAGGUCGAAAGACGUAGUCGAUGGAUAACAGGUUGAAAUUCCUGUACUAUCCUGUAACAGAACUGUGGGGACGCAGACAGAGAGCACAAGCCGGGAAUGGAAAGACCGGUGCAAGCGAGGUAGGAGUACAUCAGGCAAAUCCGGUGUGCAAUCCGAAGACGUGAUGCGGAUCGAAAAGAAGUAGAGAAGUGUGUGAGCUGGCUGCCAAGAAAAGCCGCUAUUGUUUACAGGAUACCCGUACCGUAAACCGACACAGGUGGAUGAGGAGAGAAUCCUAAGGCCGACGGGAGAAGCAUUGUUAAGGAACUCGGCAAAAUGACUCCGUAACUUCGGGAGAAGGAGUGCCAUGCGAAUGGCCGCAGAGAAUUGGCCCAAGCAACUGUUUAGCAAAAACACAGGUCUAUGCGAAACCGAAAGGUGAGGUAUAUGGGCUGACGCCUGCCCGGUGCUGGAAGGUUAAGGGGAGAGGUUAGCGCAAGCGAAGCUUUGAACUUAAGCCCCAGUAAACGGCGGCCGUAACUAUAACGGUCCUAAGGUAGCGAAAUUCCUUGUCGGGUAAGUUCCGACCCGCACGAAAGGCGUAAUGAUUUGGGCACUGUCUCAACAAUGCACCCGGUGAAAUUGAAAUACCAGUGAAGAUGCUGGUUACCUGCGCCAGGACGGAAAGACCCCAUGGAGCUUUACUCUAGCUUGAUACUGGGAUUCGAUAUUGCAUGUACAGGAUAGGUGGGAGACUAGGAAGUGGUGACGCCAGUUGCCAUGGAGUCAAUGUUGGGAUACCACCCUUGCAGUAUUGGGUUUCUAACCAGCAGCCGUGAUCCGGCUGGGGGACAAUGUCAGGUGGGGAGUUUGACUGGGGCGGUCGCCUCCGAAAGGGUAUCGGAGGCGCUCAAAGGUUCCCUCAGAAUGGUUGGAAACCAUUCGAAGAGUGCAAAGGCAGAAGGGAGCUUGACUGCGACACCGACGGGUGGAGCAGGUACGAAAGUAGGACUUAGUGAUCCGGUGGUAUAAAGUGGGAUUGCCAUCGCUCAACGGAUAAAAGCUACCCUGGGGAUAACAGGCUUAUCACUCCCAAGAGUUCACAUCGACGGAGUGGUUUGGCACCUCGAUGUCGGCUCAUCGCAUCCUGGGGCUGUAGUCGGUCCCAAGGGUUGGGCUGUUCGCCCAUUAAAGCGGUACGCGAGCUGGGUUCAGAACGUCGUGAGACAGUUCGGUCCCUAUCCGGCGUGGGCGUAGGAUAUUUGAGAGGAGCUGCCCUUAGUACGAGAGGACCGGGGUGGACUGGCCGCUGGUGUAUCUGUUGUAUUACCAAGUGCAUAGCAGAGUAGCCAAGCCGGGAAGGGAUAAACGCUGAAGGCAUCUAAGCGUGAAGCCCCCCUCAAGAUGAGAUAUCCCAUAACGUCAAGUUAGUAAGACCCCUUGAAGACGACGAGGUAGAUAGGGCAGAGGUGGAAGUGUGGCAACACAUGGAGCUGACUGUUACUAAUAGGUCGAGGGCAUAACCAA